UACGGGGGGGCGAAGCGUUGUUCGGAAUUACUGGGCGUAAAGGGCUUGAUAGGUGGCCAACUAAGUCAGACGUGAAAUCCCGUCGGACUUAACCGGGGAACUGCGUCUGAUACUGGAUGGCGUCGAGUUUGGGAGAGGGAUGUAGAAGUUCCAGGUGUAGCGGUGAAAUGCGUAGAUACUGGGAGGAACACCGGUGGCGAAGGCGGCUAGCCUGGACAGGUACUGACGCUGAUGCGCGAAAGCCAGGGGAGCAACAGG
rnacentral:rRNA from 1 species